rnacentral:misc_RNA from 1 species
UUUUUAACAAAUAAAACUAUUUCAAAUUUAAGGUAUGCCAAUGGCCUCUGAUGGGUCACCAUUUCUAUUCCAUGGAUGAUUCAAAACAUCCUACAAUAUGUUUGUAUUCUCAAAUGGGCAGCAUUCAUUACCUCAGUGUUAAUUUAUUUUCUUGUAGUAAAUUGCUUCUGGGGAAGUGCUCUCCAUCCAAUGUCCCGGCGGUAGAACCCUCCCGGCCAGUUGAUUUCCUCAACUGCCUGAUAGGCUCUAUCCCUUGCCUCUUGAAGAUCUCUUCCCUUGGCAGUAACCCCCAGCACCCGGCCCCCAGUAGCAAUGAAGUUGCCAUC